rnacentral:rRNA from 1 species
AGCAAACGCUGGCGGCAGGCCUAACACAUGCAAGUCGAACGGAUCCUUCGGGAUUAGUGGCGGACGGGUGAGUAACACGUGGGAACGUGCCCUUUGGUUCGGAACAACUCAGGGAAACUUGAGCUAAUACAGGAUGUGCCCUUCGGGGGCAAGAUUUAUCGCCAUUGGAGCGGCCCGCGUAUGAUUAGCUAGUUGGUGAGGUAAAGGCUCACCAAGGCGACGAUCAGUAGCUGGUCUGAGAGGAUGAUCAGCCACAUUGGGACUGAGACACGGCCCAAACUCCUACGGGAGGCAGCAGUGGGGAAUCUUGCGCAAUGGGCGAAAGCCUGACGCAGCCAUGCCGCGUGAAUGAUGAAGGUCUUAGGAUUGUAAAAUUCUUUCACCGGGGACGAUAAUGACGGUACCCGGAGAAGAAGCCCCGGCUAACUUCGUGCCAGCCGCCGCGGUAAGAC